AUCUUGUACUUUGGUGCUAUUUUGUGGUUUAUAAACUGCCCCUACCGAAAAACCCAGGUGUGCCAAACAUAGCAACCUCAGGUGGAGUACCUACAGGGAGUAUUUCUGCGUCCCUGCCAAGAGGGGUUCCAGCUGGAUCAGUUUUACACGACAGGACUUGGACACCUCAGUGUCCUGUCAUGGCUCUGCCCAUCAUGCAGGCCUUGCUUGCCCUCUCCUGCCUCCACCCCUCGGUAGCAGUGGCUGCGAUCACUGCUGCCAGGUUUUCAGCUGUGGUUUGUUACAAGGCAGGUAUUCCCGCUGGCUUGGUUUGAAGAGUUAACUUUUCCUCUACCUCCACGCUGGUUUGCACUCACCUAUGAGGAGAAGCAUUCAGUCUCUCCGUUUUUCUGUUUCUCCAUUUUCAGUGAAUAUUCUUAUAUACAGAAAAACAAAGGAAGUCUCACACAUACAAGGUCUCCAAAAGUCAUUGCUGAGAUAGAAAUGAUCCUCAGGGUGCCCCAGGAAGCUAUCAGCAAUUUUCCUCUGUCGUGUUCAGUUCAGCAUGAAGCCCUGGGAAUUGGCAUAGAGGCAAGCUAAUUUCAAGACCAUCAGUGGUGCUUUCAUUCUGAUCUGGAAGCCAGAUGAGUGCUCAAAAAAAGAAAAAAAAAAUAUGUUAUCUGGUCUGGUUGCCAGCGUGGGUGUCCAAGCAGCCGUGCCAGCUCCCUGAUGGGAGUGCUGCGGAAUAUGGACUGCUGCUAAGAAAAUUCCUGGGAACCACGGUCGCAGUAAGUUGGAGCCACCUGUCACACCGCAGCGCGCUGUCAGCAGCAGCCUGAGAACGUCCCUGCUCGGUGCCUCGGUCACCCACAGGAGCCAGCUGGCUGGCACAGAUAAGGCUGGAAGGAGAUUUCUCUAAUACUAUCAUUCAGCGAUCUGGGAUAAAUACUUCUUUAAUUCUGUUCUGAAGAAUUUGUACUCAAGAGUGCCAGGGAGGGAAACCUUUGGGUUAAACUCAAAAGGCCGAGUGCAUUAUCUGUCAGGAAGCACCUCUGUGCCAUCUGGGCAAUGAGGCAGACAGUGAUAAGGUGGCAUAGCUCUCCUCAUGUGCUUAGUGGGGGAAUACCUUAUCAGCGAAUAAAGUAGAAGCAUUUCACUCGUAUUUCCUUUCCUGGAUUGUACGGACACGAUUACAGAAGUAAAUUACCAGCAAAUAGGUUUACUUUGUGCAACUUUUUUAGUGUUUUAUUAACAACACAGCUUUUUGCAACCACCGCUAAAUUCUUGCAACACUGUAGGGAUAAAACAUCACUUUACACAUAGUCUACUGGACUCAAGCAGGGACUAACAGAUUUGGGGCACCUGGAAAGGGAAAGGGAGGCUCCAGGUCUUGGCUGUCCUUUGGAACAAGCUGCCUGUGCCCGCGGUAUGCCUGGAAUGCACCGGGAAUGGUCUCGGCUUGACAGCACAGGCGCUCCCUUGACUCACUUUAUCACCUGACAAGAAGUGAAAAGGACCAGAAACACAAAUGCUAGCUUAGCAAAAUAGGAAGGAGUUAGGACAUGCCCAGACAGGCUGCCAGCCCAGGAUAUCAGCUUAGAGGCCCUGGCCAGAAGUGUCAGAAACAUCAGCUGGAAGUCAGGCAUCAGGGCUUUUCCUGUCCUGGUUUGGCUGAGAUACCCGCUCAGCAGUCUGGCACCUUUUGAGACCUGCUGUGCAAAGCUGGGCACCAGCUGCCCAGACCUCGCUUCUGCAGCAAGGGCAUCAUCUGGCUUCUUUGUUCCUGGCAUUCUCCAUCACCUUUCUGAAGAGUGUCACUUGCUGGGGGGAAGCUGUGAUUUGCUGCAGUGCAGUGUAAUAUACAUGUUGUUGUAUGCAAUACCAAAAAAAAAAGAUAAUAAAAUUAAAAAAUCAACUCCCUCAGCUCACCCAACAUUGGAAUGUGAGCAAUUCUCUCCUCUUACCCAGAAGCAGCCACCUCAGGAGCUGGUUAUGUGUAAUGCACCAGUCAUAAAGCAGUGGGAGGAUGUUAAAGAUCAAGGAAUGGAGUGGGGGGGGGGCUGGGAGGUAGCCUUGGAAAUGAGUAGUCUUCUCCCACUCGGCAAGCCAGUUCCAUUAUCUGAAUUAGUACAAAAAUACCCACCCACCCCGAGGAAUGCACCAAGUCACUCCCUCCAUGGCAGCUCUCUCUGAUGGGGAGUAAUUGCGUGCUUCUGACAGAGCCCCGAUGGAUCUGCAUGGAGCGCUUGAGUAGGAGGCAGUCCUCUUCUUUCUGAGUAUUUUAUCCGGGAAGAUUUUGAGGAGUUCAAAUUAUUGGGCUUUUGGGAUAUCCCACAGACCAGCUGGAAAUGUGCAGUGGGAGAAGGUCUUAGGCUCUUGCUGAACCAUCACUACAGCACAAAAUGUGGUACCACAUUUCAGAUACAACAUUCUGCAGCGAGCUCAUCCACCUUCUACUGAGGCACGGUGUGAGUGGUGGUGUUGCAGAAGGCCCUGGUCGGGAUGAGGGUUACCAGGCUCCUGUAUGGAUGUGCUUCUGAGAGCACAGCCAGCUCCCAAGAUGCUGUCCUCUGCCUUCCUGUCCAGAAUGCUCCUCUCCUGCUUCUAUCCCAUGAGAGCCACUGUCCACAGAACGUUUGCUGGACCCUGUCCUGAGUGGAAACCUUCCUGUAUGUCAGUACAUUUCAGGACACCAGGAGAAGCUUUCAUACCUCACUCAACCGAUGGCACAUCCACUACUCCCAGUGCAUAUCAUCUCCUGCACUGCUCCUCAGUCCUCCAAGUUUUUUACAACGGCACCAUGCCCAGUCUCACAGGACAGAUGUUCUGGGAACAACUCUAGCAAAAAGGCUGGGAAACAAAGAAUGAGAUUCUGGGAAUCUUCUCCAAGGAACGUGAAGAAAAUCUUUAUCUUUCAAAAAAUCACAUUUCUUCCUUUUCCUCAUUCUUUCUUUGAUAAAUCGUUUUCUAUUUACAGCCAGCACUUUUUAAUGCAUUCUCCCUCCCCCAGCCUACUGGGUUCCUAUUUUCCCCUUCUGACAAUGUUGCCAUAUGGUUCUAUUAUUCAGAGAUUCCUAAACAUGUAUUACAACGGUCCUGAAAAAUAAUUAGGUGCUGCUGUGGUGCAAAAGCACAUCUGUGAUCAAUAGCUCCCACUGGAAAUUAUGGGAUAAAAAGUCCCAAGACACUUUUUCUAUCUUUCUACUUCCUCCCUGCUCUCCCC